UACGUAGGGACCAAGCGUUGUUCGGAUUUACUGGGCGUAAGGGCGCGUAGGCGGCGUGACAAGUCACUUGUGAAAUCUCUGAGCUUAACUCAGAACGGCCAAGUGAAACUGUUGUGCUAGAGUGCAGAAGGGGCAAUCGGAAUUCUUGGUGUAGCGGUGAAAUGCGUAGAUAUCAAGAGGAACACCUGAGGUGAAGACGGGGUUG
rnacentral:rRNA from 1 species